UUGGAUUUACUAAACAAUGUUUAAUUAAUUGUAUUAAUGGUUAUAAAAUAUCUAUCAAGGCUAUCUUUUCUUGUCCAAAAAUUCAAUACAUGAAAUAGGAAAAUUUGUAAUACCAUAGCCAAAGCCUUACUGCAUAGCUUCUAGCUUACUGAUAUAUUUACCUAUUUUAAUUUAAAAAGCCUAUUUUUCCAGCCACUAGGAAAUAAAAUUUCCCACGUUUUAUAUACUCAAAAAUCAUGAUUAAGUAUAUCUAAUGCUACCCUAAGUGUAAGCAAACAGCAAACUAAAUGGUGAAUUAAAAUAUCCACACUAAGCCUGACCUCAGCUUUCACUGAAUCUUUUCUUCAGAAGAAAACUAAAAACAAAUCUCACUAGCAUUUGCUUUGCUUGACAGCAUCAUUGAGUAGCAACCAAAGUAGCCAUAUGUGAUCCUUUAUGUAAGGCCUCCUAGCCUCAGAAACACACACCUUUUGAAUUACCGUGCCUGGUACCCAUUUGUGCCCGAUAAAUACUUGCUGAAUGAACUUUUCCAAUAGUGCUGGAUUUGGUCUGAGCCAACGAAAUUCUCACUUUUAAUGUAUUUUGCAAGACAGAGGACGACAAGAUGAAGAAUGCAGUUUGAGACUCAGGAGAGCAAAGAUAAUCGGCCCAGUAUGGAUAUGAUCAUUUGAUGCACUAUCCUCGGACAUGCCCAUUUACAGAAGCCUAAAAACAAAUUUUAUCCCGCGUUUGUGGGUUUCUGGUGUUGUGGAGGGCUUUCCAAUGUUUAGAAGCAAUGUCUUUUUAUAGAAUUCUGUAAUAAACUUUUAAAAAAUAUUUUAUAAAGCUCUCUGUAGCAUAUAAGUACAUAUUAAAGACAGAAAUGGGGGAGUGUCAAGGCCCUUAUAAUCGUCAUUCAUUCAUUAACCACACACUACGCAUCUACAGUGUGGCAUUCUAGGCGCUGGCCGUAACACCAGUGCAGAAAAACACAACCUCUUGUCCUCUUAGAGCUUACAUUCCCCUGGGGAAGGAGAGAGAAGAUAAACAAGUAUGGAUAUGUAGACUGUCCAAAGGAUAAAAUGAGAAGGGGGCUAGGGCUCAGUUUAAAAGUGGCCGCGGAAGCACUGAGUGACACUUGGGCAAAAUCCUGAAGGUGAAGGAGCAAGCCCUAUGGACGCUCAGGGAAGAGCCUGGCAGAGGGAACGACGAGGGCAGGCCCGCCCCCACCCCCAAAGGCGCGCGGGGACUUCAGCCGCGGUCAAGGAUUUGGCUCACUCCCCUCAAGCAGGGAAGCCAUUCGCAGGGCCUAAAGAAAAGGAGUGACAGGAUCUUGGCCCCCCCGCCCCAGACAAAAGGAAUAAUCUAAGCAAGUUUUCCUACUUACUUUAGCGCACUGGUACACACACAAAUACACAAUACAAUUCAUAUAACAAGAAUUUCGUCCCGGUUGAAUAAAAAUCCGCUUACCUACUGCACUUUUUACCGAAAAUAGCCCCCUUUUAAUUUACAAAAACUUAAUAGAGAACUGUGGAACGAUGGAGUCACUUCUUGUUUUACAAUUUAAAAACUACAACAAGCAUAGUACUGUACGUAUAAUCACAUUUUGUAUUCCAGCCUUGUCCAGCGCCUCAGUGUUCCAAACCUAAAGAGGAAAACGAUGUUUGAAAUUAGCUGGCCGCAGGCCCGCGGGUCGCCCGCAGUCGCCGGUGGCUGAGUCGGGGCCGGCAGUUCUCCCCGCGCGGUCGGCUCCACCCACACCUAGAGGGGGCACCGGGGCUGCCGCGGGCCACCUUCUCGCUCGCGCAGCGUCGCCUACAGGCCUUCAUCCCGACGGUUGGAGAAGAACCCAAUCCUCUGCUGACAAAAAGCAAGGGCAGCGGAGAUCCCCUGUUUCCAGAAAUAAACGCAUCACAAACACGAUUCCAAUUCAAUCCAGCCGAGAAUCGUCUUCACCUCCAAGGGUUGCGUUCUUACUCCGCAGAAACAAUACGCAGUCGGGCGUAAGGUCCCGGCUCUCAAAAGGAAAGGUGUACGAUCCAUCCAUCCACCCAGCUGCAGGGACACCAUUUAAAACGGGCAUCAUCGCCGUCGAAUCGCGGGCGUCCUCUGUGGGGCCGCCCGGAGAUCGGCUCCCUAAAGCUAACGACGACCUGGGACAGCCAGCGCGGCCUCCAGCGGCCGCCGUCGGCGACCUGCAAGCCCGUCCGGGCUUCAGUGCUCCCCACGCUCACGACCACCACCGAACUCCGGCCCCGCUCCCGUCGGCCUCCAGGAAAAUAAAGACAGAGGAGAGCCGGCCCGCCUGUGUCGCAGGGAAAACGUCGCUCUGAAGCAUCGACAAUACUGGCAACAUCCACAGCCGCCCUGAGGGGAAGGGCGUAGAGGAGAGCUGCCGCCGCCCGGCUGCUGGCCCCGGCUGGGCCCGGGUGCGGC
ensembl:lncRNA